GGUGCAGACACAUAAAUGCCCAGAAGAAAAGGGCAGAGAGAGGAAAGGAAAUGAAAAAAGAGAAAUGCAGGGGGAGACAGAGGAACGAAGAAAGGAGAGAAGAAUGAACGAACUGUGAAAAGUCAAAGUUCUUCUCUAGUCUUUUCCGGGAGAGUUCCCAAAGAGGCUCUCAGUAGAUUACCGUAUUUGACCCACGCUUAUGAAGUAUAAAAUGCUAAACUUGGAAGAGACCGUAGAGACCCCCUGGUCCAAUCUCCAUAUUUUAUAGACGAGGAAACAGCUGCUCCAUGUGGGAAAAGGACGUGCCUAAUAUCAGAUACAUCAAACAUUGUAGAAGCCCAGCUGAUGUGAAAAACAGAUACAGCUUUUCAGAAAUUAGACUCAGCCUUUCCUUGACAGAAUUCCUUGAUAGAUUUCUGUGUGAGUCCAUGAAAAUAUUACUCCUUAGGCAAUGCUUUGUAUAAGGAAUUAUAUAACUUAGCAUUCAAAAUAGAAAAGUUGAGAAAAUGACUAUUGCAAGACUGAGAAAUAAUAAAUGCUAAUAACUUCACAUUUAUUUUGUGAUGUC